rnacentral:rRNA from 1 species
GUCCACGCCCUAAACGAUGUCAACUAGGUGUUGGGUGGGUAAAACCAUUUAGUACCGGAGCUAACGCGUGAAGUUGACCGCCUGGGGAGUACGGCCGCAAGGUUAAAACUCAAAGGAAUUGACGGGGACCCGCACAAGCGGUGGAUGAUGUGGAUUAAUUCGAUGCAACGCGAAAAACCUUACCUACCCUUGACAUGUUCAGAAUCCCGAAGAGAUUUGGGAGUGCCCGAAAGGGAGCUGGAACACAGGUGCUGCAUGGCUGUCGU